rnacentral:pre_miRNA from 15 species
UUGUAAAGAUAACGAAGUCUAUAUACCAUCAGCGAGGUAUAGAGUUCCUACGUGCAAAUUGCAAUAGUCGUAGGAACUUAAUACCGUGCUCUUGGAGGGCUGUCGACCAACAAAACGAAUAA